CUACUAUGAUGGCUGCGUAGCUCAACAGAAUGAACCAUGAAAGAGGUAUAUACCAUUUGUUGGAUGUAGAA
ensembl:snoRNA